GGUGAGAUGGCCGAGCGGUCUAAGGCGCCAGACUAAGGUAUACCAUCAUUGCUUGCUCAAUCUGGUCCGAAAGGGCGUGGGUUCGAAUCCCACUCUCAUCA